CCCGCCGCCUUCGCCACCACCGGGGCGGGGACAACGCGCGGCGGGGCUCGCCUCCGUCUCCCUGUUCGCUCCUCCCGCCCGCCCUCCCGCCGCCAGCAGCCACACGGUUCGCUGCCCGCGGGCAGGGGGCGGCGCGGCGGGCAGCAGCGAAGGCACUUCCCCAGAGCGAAAGCCUGCGGGUGGGCUUGCGGAUGGCAGGCUCUUGAGUCCCACUGACAUGGCAGAAGAUGCCAGGGAAGCCCAAGAUGUUCUCCCAGCUCCAUUUGCUCCUUUUGUCUGCUUGACUUAAGACCUGGACAACGAAACUCGUAAGCUGAAGUGCAUGUUCCAUGAUGUGGGCUAGCAGAGCAGUGGGAGGAGGAUCAUCCCCACUUCAUCUCUGUGGUGCUGUGGAACCUCACCAGACCGAGCCAAACGCUAAUCUGUUGGAGUCUCCACCACAGACUUUUGUCUCCAGUAUGUACACAUCACGAGUGGCUGCGGUUUGUCCGACGACGUUUGCUCCUUUGUCUUUGCCCACGAGAAAACAGCACAUGGAACGUGUUGAAACAGCCCCACAAAGCCUCCAGACGGUGAUUUACUUUGUCAGAUCCUGUUAUAUCUUGUCACCGGGGCUCCGUUAAGCUGCAGGCUGGGAAGCCCUUCGGUUGCAGCCUCUGACAUCGGCUAUCGGCGUCAGGAGUCAUCCUCUUCCUACCUGAAGCAUCAAACCUUGGGUUCAUGCUCCACGCUGACAGCGGUUGUACAGAGAAACGCUAAAAAAACUUUGUAAUAGCAGACUUUAGAUAAAGCCGACUACUGGUCUGCA